rnacentral:rRNA from 1 species
GCCCCUACGGGACGCAGCAGUGGGGAAUAUUGGGCAAUGGAGGAAACUCUGACCCAGCAAUGCCGCGUGAAUGAAGAAGGUCUUCGGAUUGUAAAGUUCUUUAGUCAGGGAAGAAGUCAAUGACGGUACCUGAAGAAUAAGCUCCGGCUAACUACGUGCCAGCAGCCGCGGUAAUACGUAGGGAGCAAGCGUUGUUCGGAAUGACUGGGCGUAAAGGGUGCGUAGGCGGCCUGCUAAGUCUGGAGUGAAAGGUACCGGCUCAACCGGUACAGGCUCUGGAAACUGGCGGGCUAGAGAGCAGGAGG